rnacentral:rRNA from 1 species
GACAAGUGGUGUGAGUGCUAUUCGGAUUGAUUAGGUGUAAAAAGUAAGUAGGUGGUUAAAUAAGUUACACAUCAAAGACACUGUAAAAAGUAGUAAAGGUAUAAUACUGUUUGACUAGAGACUUUGAGAAGAUUCUGGAAUUUAUAAAGGAGCGAUAAAAUGCGAAGAACUUAUAAGGAACACCAAUAGGCGAAGGCAAGAAU